UUAGCGAACAAACAGGUUCAUACUGGGCACUGGCACCAAACAGGGGCCUAUUUGGCCCGCAGGCAGGUUUUAACAGGAAACUCCGACACAGAAAUGGGUCUAAACAGGGGACCCGUUUGGUAGUUAAACCAGUUAAACUGGCUCAUAGUGGUCCCACUUGCACCAAAAAGGUCUACUUGUAGCUGUCAUGCUCGAUUUAAUGCUUGAACUAUUUACGGUAAAAUUCGAUUUGAAAUUGGUACACACGAGCGAGCGCUCCGCAACACCCCAACGACAGCCGCUUCGCGUCGGCGCCGGGGCACAACCAACGGCGCUGCCAAGCACAGAGAAAAAAAAAGAAAGAAAAGGUUAAUAAAUAAGAAGAAAAAAAAAAAAAACAACAAAUAAGCCAAAACGGGAUUUGAACCCGCGUACCGCAGAUCUCAUGGCAAGCGUCGUAACCACUCGGCCACGCAGCCCCGCAGAUCCGGCGAUUGCUGUCCUCACUAUUGAAAGGAAUGUGGCUGGAACCCGCCGUAUAAGAUGCAUGAUAUCGAAAUACUACCACAGAACACCCAUACAAACUACCACAUACUACGCCGUCACGAUACAUGCGGUCACCAAAGGGCCGAAAGUGGGCAAAAGCACGAAAGCAUGGUCGCUUUCGGUGCCCCCAGGAGGCGCUGCCACUGCCCCAGGGGCAUGACCGUGCUGUUGCUGCCUGUUGCUGUGUGUGCGCGCUGCAUUGAGGCAGGUCGAUGUGGAUGUUUAAUCGUGUGUACGCUGUGCCGAGAGAAAAUGUCGUGCCCCUUGUGUGCUUUGAUGAUCACCUAACCCCUGGGACCGCGUAACGUAGCUCGCAGUAGCUUUUGCGUGGUUCGCCGAUGUCGAUUAUCGUAGUUAUGGCCCGCUUGCGCUUUCUUUGUUCCCGGCCUCUGAUAAUAUCGCAUCGGAUCACAGUGCACGGAACAAUUUGUUGAGCUAUUACGUGCUGUAGUUCAUCCGCAAUUCAACAGUGUUUACGUCGGAAGGAUGGUCGUGCAGUCGACGCCGCGACCUGACAUGAAGGAGCGUUUGCCGACUACGCCUAGAAAGGGAUGUCAAGAUUUCGUGAACCAGAGGCACCGCAUAGGAACCUAAGACAUUUCUGCAGCCGGAACAGCACGGCAAAGCAUCUGAUCUGCAUGCUGCGACAAGGUAUGGCUGGGCCUGGUGAUGAAGUGUAAGCAGAACAUGCUAUGCUGCGAAUUGGUGCCAAUCUUCACAUCCGAGUUGUUCCCACGACAGUCAAGCACCACUGUGAUUUGCUUCAUUGGCAAGGUAAUAUACUAUGGUGCCCUGCAAGCUCUCACCAAAGCAACACAUUCCACUGGUUUUCUGUCAGAGUACCAUUAUAGAAUUUCGAAUAAACUAUGCUUGUCAGAUGUG